AUCCCUAAUUAUUACUCUUCAUCAUUAUGAAUGUAUUCCCUUUUUAUCCUUAUAAGUGUAACUUUAUUUUAUCGGUUUCCUCCUUAAAUGAUUUUAUUUCGUCAUUUUGCAUCUUUAAUGAUUAUGUUUCAUCAUUGUGCAUCAUUAAUUAUUGUGUUUCAUCAUUGUGCAUCCUUAAUGAUUUUUUUCAUCAUUAUUUUAACGUCUCUGAGGAUCGUGCCUAACCAAUG
rnacentral:lncRNA from 1 species